rnacentral:rRNA from 1 species
GAUGAACGCUGGCGGCGUGCCUAAUACAUGCAAGUCGAGCGAACAGACGAGGAGCUUGCUCCUCUGAUGUUAGCGGCGGACGGGUGAGUAACACGUGGAUAACCUACCUAUAAGACUGGGAUAACUUCGGGAAACCGGAGCUAAUACCGGAUAACAUGUUGAACCGCAUGGUUCAACAGUGAAAGACGGUCUUGCUGUCACUUAUAGAUGGAUCCGCGCCGCAUUAGCUAGUUGGUAAGGUAACGGCUUACCAAGGCAACGAUGCGUAGCCGACCUGAGAGGGUGAUCGGCCCAACUGGAACUGAGACACGGUCCAGACUCCUACGGGAGGCAGCAGUAGGGAAUCUUCCGCAAUGGGCGAAAGCCUGACGGAGCAACGCCGCGUGAGUGAAGAAGGUCUUCGGAUCGUAAAACUCUGUUAUUAGGGAAGAACAAAUGUGUAAGUAACUAUGCACGUCUUGACGGUACCUAAUCAGAAAGCCACGGCUAACUACGUG